rnacentral:snoRNA from 1 species
UCUUUGGUAAGGAUGGUAUCUGAGUAAGGAACCACUUAAAAAUUGCUCCUCACAUGAUUAUAUCCAAUACUGAUCAGAGACUCUGAGCAAAAC